GUCCGUGUCACGCGUUGAGCUCAGCGCGCAGCGGAAAGGACGCACUCGUGGUCGCGCGGCUGUGAUGCGCGGCGGAGGAUCCGCGACGCGGCAAACGCGCUUCACCCAGCAGGUGGAUGUGACGUCACGGACCUGGAACAUCAAAAACAACAACAUCCAAAUCGGCGAUUCUCGCCCUCUCGCAUGUUUUCUCCCCUUCUUCUCCCUCCGUGUAACCAUCUGAACAUCAGCCGAGGAGGAGGAGAGCAGCUCGCGCGUUUCCCCGCCAGCACCGGGAGUCAGCGCGCGCCAAACUCCACGUUUCGCUUCUUUUUCCUCGACGCCCUCCUCGGCGAGACGAGCUUUUUCCUCCUCGUAGUUAAGUUAGUAAGUUAGUCCCCCACCUCCUCCUCCUCCACCGGCACCUCCUCCUCCACCGGCACCUCCACCUCCACCGGCCGCUGUUGACGGUGCGAUCUGUUGUCGCGUGCACGGCUCCGUUAUUGCAUCGGUAGCCCCGCGCGUGUCCACGCGGUUUUUGACCAGGUUCCACACACUGCAGCAGGGAUCUUGGCCCUCUCCUGGAGACGAGCUAGGCCACUCCAGGACCUUCGGCUGCUUCUUUCUCCUUAGCUGCCCCGGCUGUGUGUUUUGGGUCGUCAUGCUGGAAGACUCAGCCAAGACCCAUCUUCAGUGCUCUCACUGAGGGGAGGUUUUUAUCUGGCGAUACAUACAAACACGGCCAGUGGAGUUUAGACUAAAAAGCUCUAUUUUUGUCUCAUUAGACCACAUGACCUUCUCUCGUACCGCCUCUGGAUCAUCCAGAUGCUCAUUGGCAAACUUCAGACAUCUAGACCUGCGCUGGUUUGAGCAGGAGGACCUUGCGUGCGCUGCAGGAUCUUAACCCGUGGCGACGUAGUGUGUCACUAAUGGUGGUCCCAGCUCUCUUCAGCUCAUUGGCCAGCGCCGUGUGCUUCUGGGCUGAUCCCUCACCCUCCUCGUGACCAUUGAUGCCCCACGAGGUGAGAUCUUACAUGGAGCACCAGACCGAGGGAGAUUGGCCGUCAUCUUGAACUUCUUCCAUUUUCUAAUAAUUGCUCAAGCAGCUGUUGGCUUCUCACCAAGCAGCUUGUCUGUUGUCCCGUAGCCCGUCUAGAACUCUCUCCCUGAUGUCCUUACACAGCUCUUGUCCAUUGUGCAGAGUCUGUUUGGUUGACAGGUCUCCUACUGGUUGCUGGAUGACGCAUCGCUGCAGGAAGCAAGCUGAUUUGAGACGCGAUGAAGACAACAAAUAGAAGAAUAACUGAAGCGAGUUGGUUUUGUGUGUGUUGUGGUUUGCGUUGACAUUUGACACCUGCUUCAGGGGAGUGAGGUUCUGACACCUAAUCAGGAUGCGUAUCGUUAGAGCUGUUUAAACCAACAAAACGUAGCAGAUUUAACAUUUAACCAACACUGCCAGAUUCCUGCACACUAUUCCCUGUUCAAGUAAUAACUUAAAGCCUUCUCAAAUAGAGCGGCCCUUGUCUGUUUUGGGAAUGAUGCAGGUAAGCUACAAACAUUCCCACCCAGGCGUGAGGGGGCUCAGCCAGAUGCUCAGCUGCCGGGCCGCACCGCACCACCUGUUUCCAUCAGCUGUCCAGGCGGCCCGGUGGACUUUCUGUCAAAGAUGCAUCAAUGAGUGUUUACACCGAUGGUGCAGUCUCUGAAGUCAAGGAUCGACUCACCUUUGGGACGCGUUCGUGAAAGCCUGGAGGUGUGAUGCACGUUGUCGUCUCUCUUGUUUGCGGCGAUUUAGGUUGUAGCGGUCCGAUCUCGCAAGGCUCCUCUGGUUUAUUUUGUGUUUAAACGCCGUCGCCCGCUCCGCGGUGCUCCGCGCUAAUCGGGCCGCAGGUGGAAUAACGAUGUUGGGCUGAACCAGAGCGGAGAAAGACAAACCAUGAAAAAAAUGCCACUUAAGGCGCGCUAACUCUCGUCGGCAGCUUGAUGUAAAGCCCGGUAGCAGGAGCACGUCUUUAAGGGCCUCAUCCUCCACUUCUGCUCUCAGCUGGCAGUCCCGGCCUAAUAAGAAACACGACAUGGCAGGGCCCGCUCCUCCGUCGUCAUCGCCGCGUGGAAAAGUUGCCGUUGCUUUGAUCAUGUCUUCUGGGCGCAUCACUCCGGCUUAGCCCGCCGCUCGCUACGUGAUAAGCCAUCAGAGCACUCAGAUCUAAGCCGGCAGCUCCACGGGCUCCAGGAGAGACGGGCGGGAGCGCCGGAGACGAGGAGAGAGCGCCGAUGCAAAUUUUGUUGACAGACUGUUGCCGCAGCUGUUCUCUUCUGCCUUUGAAUUCCGCGAUGUUGCUGUCCGUCUUUGCUCGUCUGUGCGGGAAAGGGCCAAGUUGCAAGACUUUCUCUCCUUAUUGUGGAACGGCGCCGUUCUCGUGUGGUGACUCGGCCACGUUGGCAAUAAGAAAUGCCUUUUUAAAAUUCGACUCAUCGAUUACUCGCCUCAAAAAAAGCCCGAGUUCAUUAUUGCACAACGCGUACCGUGCAAGCGCUGCGUUGUCGCGCCGCUCUCGUCCCGUCUGCAUAAAUCAGGCUUUUCUUUGGACCCCCCAUUAUGAAAGGGCGCUCCUAAUUGACGGGAUGUUGCUUGUUUAUUUGAUGUAUAUUUACCGGCUGGGUGGUAAUUGGGGAGCAGUAAUUACCUGAGAUGCAGCCCGGCGCUCCGGCGGAGGUGCUGCCACGCUGAUGAGUGUGGAGCACGGAGGGAAGUUACUGUCGUCGUCCUCGGGGCUGUUUAAAUAUGUGACAGCGGAGAGCCGCGAUGGCUAAUUGGGCCCCGCGUCCCUCGUACGGGUUUCCGUGUUUACCGUGAUGAUGCACGGUGCGAGAUAAAGCGCGGCGCUUUGUGCAAUCUUUUCUUUUUUGCAGGCCCAUUUGUUGCCAACGUACCUGAGCAGUUCAUAGCAACAAUAAAAAGGUGUGUGUGUGUGUGUGUGUGUGUGUGUGUGUGUGUGUGUGUGUGUGUGUGUGUGUGUGUGUGUGUGUGUGUGUGUGUGUGUGUGUGUGUGUGUGUGUGUGUGUGUGUGUGUGUGUGAGGGCCCUUGUAGAUUUGAAGUCCCUCCUGGAUGAUGUAGUUCCUUCACUGAUAAUGGCCUUGUUAACUGAGAUUCAUUACCUCUUCAUUCAGAGUCCCUUCUGGAUAUCGAGGGAAAGUGUUCUCGAGCUACUCGCUCGCCCACGGUGAAGUCAUGCUGACGCCUUCUGCUGUUUGCCAGCUAUUCGUGGAAGGCGGUGACGGUAUCUUCCCAGACUCCAGAUGAUUCAGUUGACCUGAGGUCAGGGUGGCUGGGUUGGUGUUUGACUUUGUUUGUUACUCAAUUCCACUUUCACACCAUCUCUCUCUCUGUCUGUGUGUGUGUGUGUGUGUGUGUGUGUGUGUGUGUGUGUGUGUGUGUGUGUGUGUGUGUGUGUGUGUGUGUGUGUCUCUCUCUCUCUCUCCCUCAGCAAUUCCCUCAAACGCACAGAGACGCACACCGUGUUUGUGCUGUUGUGUGAUUGCUGGCUCUCCCAGUAGAUCUGCAGACUUUGUUGUUGUUUGCCUGUAUUGGUUGGAGUGUGUGUGUGUGUGUGUGUGUGUGUGUGUGUAGCUCCUUGGAGGGAGUUUGUUUUUGUUCUCCGUGUUGUAAACAGGGCGAGGCUUCGUUCCCAAACCACUCAGUUGGUUAUUUUCGCAGGAGUUUUUUGUUUUGUUUACCAUCUCGGUCAACCGAUUUCUCUGGGAUGGAAUCCGGUUUCGGGGGCCGAUGUGCGGCCAUCCGUCCGUCACUGUCAUCUCUGUGGUGAUUUAAAGAAGCACUUUGAUGACUCAAACCUUCUCAAGGCAGGGUCUUUAAUCAAUGUUACAAUGUUCUCAUUUUUAGUAUGAGAUGAAUUGGUUAACGUGAUCUCAUCGUGGUCUCAGAUGCAGCUGUCAAUCACAGCUAUCAUGAGUUGUUAGUUUGAUAAUAAAUACCUAAAUGACAGAAACCAUAAGAAAACAUCCUAUUUUACAUGUUGUUUGACCACUAAGUUUGGGCUUCACUUUACAAACAGAUCAUUUCUUUUUGUUCCACAUCAUGACACGCUAAUAUAUAUAUAUAUAUAUAUAUAUAUAUAUAUAUAUAUAUAU
ensembl:lncRNA